UACAGAGGGUGCGAGCGUUAAUCGGAAUUACUGGGCGUAAAGCGCACGUAGGUGGCGACGUAAGUCGGGUGUGAAAGCCCCGGACUCAACCUGGGAAUUGCAUUCGAGACUGCAUUGCUGGAGUACGGAAGAGGAGGGCGGAAUUCCCGGUGUAGCGGUGAAAUGCGCAGAUAUCAGGAAGAACACCUAUGGCGAAGGCAGCUCUCUGGGACGGUACUGACGCUGAGACGCGAAAGCGUGGGGAGCGAACAGG
rnacentral:rRNA from 1 species